rnacentral:misc_RNA from 1 species
UUUCGUUUUCCAAAAAAAAAGAGAAAUUGAAGCAGAUUAUAUAAUAAGAGGGUAUACAUGGAUUAUACGUAGCAAAAUUAAGUAAUUUUCUAGCAAAGCAACAUUUUACAAAUUUUAAGCCUCUCAUAACAAGUGGGCCUCAGCAUUAGUAUCCAAGUAGCACAACAGCUUUGUCAGUGCCCUCUAUAUCGAUAUAGAUAUACGUAUAUGUAUUGCCAAUGCUAUGUGUAGCAUUCGUGUUACUGUUGGCC